rnacentral:sRNA from 1 species
UUUAAGGACUGCCCAAAGGUCCACCCAAUUCUUUUUUUUUAAUCUUUAUUUAUUUUAUUUAUGUAUUUAUUUUGAGACAGGAUCUCACUCUGUUGUCCAGGCUGGAGCGCAGUGGUGCAAUCUCGGCUCACUGCAACCUCCGCCUCUGGGCUCAGGUGAUCCUCCCACCUCAGCCUCCUGAGUAGCUGGGAUUACAGGCAUGUGCCACCACGCCCAGCUAAUUUUUUUUUUUUGAGACGGAAUCUCCCUGUGUUGCCCAGGCUGGAGUGCAGAGGCAGGAUCUCGGCUCACUGCAACCUCCGCCUCCUGAGUUCAAGAGAUUCUCCUUCCUGCAUCAGCCUCCCGAGUAGCUGGGACUACAGGUGCAUGCUGCCACGCCCGGCCAAUUUUUGUAUUUUUAGUAGACAUGGGGUUUCACCAUGUUGCCCAGGCUGGUCUCGAACUCCUGAACUCAGGCAAUCCACCCGCCUCGACCUCCCAAAGUGCUAGGAUUACAGGCGUGAGCCACCGCGCCCUGCCACACCCAGCUAAUUUUUGUAUUUUUAGUAGAGACAGGGUUUCACCGUGUCAGGCUGGUCUUGAACGCCUGACCUCAGGUGAUCCUCCCACCUCAGCCUCCCGAGGAGCUGGGAUUACAGGCAUAUGCCACCACGCCCAGCUAAUUUUUGUAUUUUUGGUAGAGACGGGGUUUCACUGUGUUGGCCAGGCUGGACUCGAACUCCUGACCUCAGGUGAUCCUCCCACCUCGGCCUCCCAAAGUGCAGGGAUUACAGGCGUGAGCCCCUGCGCCCAGUGAAGGUCCCCUCUUCUCUCCACCAUGACCUGCUCCACCCCUCCUUCCUCUCCAGGUGGGCAUGACGGCUCCCGGGACGCGGCGGCACAUCUAUGACACCAAGCUGGGAACCGACAAGUGUGAUAACUCCUCCAUGUCCCUGCAGAUGGGCUACACGCAGGGUGCCAACCAGAGUGGCCAGGUCUUCGGCCUGGGCCGGCAGAUAUAUGACCCCAAGUACUGCCCGCAAGGCACAGUGGCCGACGGGGCUCCCUCGGGCACCGGCGACUGCCCCGACCCGGGGGAGGUCCCUGAAUAUCCCCCUUACUACCAGGAGGAGGCUGGCUACUGAGGCUCCCAGCACGCUCUCUCCCCACAUCGUCUCCCCGUCUGGGUUUUUGGGUUUUUCUGUGUUUUCAUCUUUUUUUUUUCUUAACCGGUUCAGUGCUGCCAGUCAACCAAGGAUCUGUGAGUGUCAGUGUGGGAUCAGGCAGCAGAGCUUUUUUCCCCUUUGCCUUGAUCCUUCGCAAGACUGAGCCACUGGGCUGUGGGGGAAGGGGUCAAGGCCAUAUCCCAAUACGUGUAGGGCGAGGGUCCCUGCUGGCACGUUCAGGCUGUGCUGAGAAGAAGAGACCUGGGCUUGGAAGGAACCGGUCCCUGAAGGUUUCUGGUUGCCUCGCCUCUUCCCCCUUUUGUCAGCUGAGCAGUUUGUGGUUUCUGUGCCCGCAAGUUUCAGGAAGUAUUCACAAAAGAAAAAUACAUUUUUUUUUUCCCGAGGAGUGGGGCAGGGACAGUGGAGAGGGUGCUAGGAAAUGAGUCCCCUGGGAAUGGGGACCCGGCCAUGAAGCUAAAUAUCUCCGGCUCCCAAGUGACUGGAUUUCCCUAGGACCUUCAGACCAACAGACCUCAGACCCUCAGACCUGCCCCGGGGCCAGGUGGGGAAAGUGAAAUUCUGAGUUGUUGGGGCUAAGCCUGACCCCCCUCUCCAUGCUCCCCACCCCAACCCACUCUGGCCUCAGUAGAUUUUAUUUUCAGUUGUGGUUGUUGCCCAGGCUGGAGUGCAGUGGCGCCAUCUUGGCUCACUGCACCUCCACCUCCCAGGCUCAAGCGAUUCUCCAGCCUCAGCCUGCUGAGUAGCUAGGACUGCAGGUGCUCCACCACGCCCGGCUAAUUUUUGUAUUUUUAGUAGAGACGGGGUUUCCCCAUGUUGGCCAGGCUGGUCUUGAACUCCUGGCCUCAGGUGUGAUCCGCCUGCCUCUGCCUCCCCAAGCGCUGAGAUUACAGGUGUGAGCCACCAUGCCCAGCCCCUCAGUAGGUUUUAAGGAGCCCGCAGCCCUCCUCCCUUCUGGGCCCGACCAGCUUAUACUGCUCCAUCUUCCCCGGCCACAUGCCCCGCCAAGUACUGCACAGGGACCCCCCACCCAGGGGCCCUGCUCCAUGAGAUAAUGUGAAAUACGACUGUGGACCAAACGCAAUAAAACCUCUGUUUGUAAGAAG